AUUUUGUGCUUGAUCUAAUUUGUAGGUAAAUCGGUUGGCGUUGUGACGACGGCCCGCCUGACCCACGCCACCCCGGGGGCUGCGUACUCUCACUCAGCGAGUCGGGGCUGGGAGGGUCUGUCCAACAUGGAGGGGGUGGAAUCCCAGUGUACGGACAUCGCCUACCAACUCGUCAUGAACAACUCCGAUAUAGACGUUUUAAUGGGUGGCGGUCGCAGGUUUUUCUUGUCAAUGAACAAAACAGAUCCAGAGCUGAACAGGACCUCAUCCUAUCAAAGAUGGGACUUGGACCUCGUCGAUGAAUGGCUGAGGCGGAAACAAGAAGAAAACGUUUCCCAUAGUUACGUGUGGAAUAACGAAGGAUUUAAUGCCAUUAAUCCACAGACCACAGACUACGUUCUAGGUUUAUUUGAAUCUUCACACAUGCAAUACGAGUAUCAACGUGACACAGGCCCUAAAGGGGAACCAUCACUGGCGGAAAUGACGCAGAAAGCCAUAGAAAUCCUCGGAAGAAACGACAAAGGCUUCUUCCUAUUAGUGGAAGGGGGUCGGAUAGACCACGGUCACCACGCCUCUCAGGCAGCCGUCGCUUUGUCGGAAACCGUUAUGUUUGACAAAGCGGUUCAAGUUGCUAAGGAAAUUACGAAUGAUGACGACACGUUGUUAGUAGUAACAGCUGAUCAUUCCCACGCCUUCAUGAUGGCUGGAUACCCUAGUCGGGGAAAUGACAUUUUAGGUUUGUUAAAUAGAUUCAAUUCUCUCGUGCUGAUUUUCAGGACUUUUACGUGCUUUAAUACCAGAUGACUUUUGAUCUGAUAGGGGUCGUUGACACGGAGAUUGGAGAGGACGAUAUGCCUUACACGACCUUGACCUAUGGUAACGGACCACAACAAAGAAGGAAUCUUACGGGUAUAGAUACCACGGCCUUCACUUUCCGACAGUCAGGAGUUGUUCCCCUGGGUUCUGAGACACAUGCUGGUGAGGAUGUUCCGGUUUAUGCGUCAGGUCCGAUGUCCCAUUUGUUUGUAGGAACUCAUGAACAAAACUACAUUACGCAUGUGCUAGCAUACGCUUCCUGUGUUGGUCCAUAUCCGGGACGAUGUGCCGUUCCACCGGUCUCUACUAUCGGAUCUGCGACAUCCGGUUCUGUGAUAUCAUUUCUCUUGUUAUCUAUCUCAUUUUUUCUUUGUUGGCUAUGAAAUCCAGCUUUUGAUAAAUUAUGAUUUUUAGUCACUGA
rnacentral:misc_RNA from 1 species